UUUUAUAUGAUGAGAUCUUAAUUAGCUGAAAUACUAUGACGUAAAUAUUAAUACGAGCUUUUUAACACUGAGUUUC